AGAGUUUGAUCCUGGCUCAGAACGAACGCUGGCGGCAGGCUUAACACAUGCAAGUCGAACGCCCCGCAAGGGGAGUGGCAGACGGGUGAGUAACGCGUGGGAACAUACCCUUUCCUGCGGAAUAGCUCCGGGAAACUGGAAUUAAUACCGCAUACGCCCUACGGGGGAAAGAUUUAUCGGGGAAGGAUUGGCCCGCGUUGGAUUAGCUAGUUGGUGGGGUAAAGGCCUACCAAGGCGACGAUCCAUAGCUGGUCUGAGAGGAUGAUCAGCCACAUUGGGACUGAGACACGGCCCAAACUCCUACGGGAGGCAGCAGUGGGGAAUAUUGGACAAUGGGCGCAAGCCUGAUCCAGCCAUGCCGCGUGAGUGAUGAAGGCCUUAGGGUUGUAAAGCUCUGUCACCGGAGAAGAUAAUGACGGUAUCCGGAGAAGAAGCCCCGGCUAACUUCGUGCCAGCAGCCGCGGUAAUACGAAGGGGGCUUGCGUUGUUCGGAAUUACUGGGCGUAAAGCGCACGUAGGCGGAUAUUUAAGUCAGGGGUGAAAUCCCAGAGCUCAACUCUGGAACUGCCUUUGAUACUGGGUAUCUUGAGUAUGGAAGAGGUAAGUGGAAUUCCGAGUGUAGAGGUGAAAUUCGUAGAUAUUCGGAGGAACACCAAGUGGCGAAGGCGGCUUACUGGUCCAUUACUGACGCUGAGGUGCGAAAGCGUGGGGAGCAAACAGGAUUAGAUACCCUGGUAGUCC
rnacentral:rRNA from 1 species